GAAACGUCGUCCAUCACUAUUGCCCCUUUUCAGGCAGCCCCACACCGGCGGAAAUUGAAACUAACGGUCCUGGGUGCUGCCAGCUGAGACAAGACCACCAUUUCUCCAGUCUAUUGGAUCAAGAAAUACAUUCCGACGUGGCAGAGAGUCAGACUCUAUACUAGCUAGUUCUGGUUGCUCAGCAAGAUUGCGGCAGGUUGAUGAACUUUUGCCCUAAUAUAAACAACACUCUGAAGAAAGGGCACUCUUCUCUCUUUCAUGUGUAGAGCACCGAACAGUGGAUAUGGUACCUUAUGAUAUUGGGUGCACGAAUCCUUCUUGACAUGUGCCGACCAGCCAGCAUACCCUGGUCCCUGCCAUGGUAGAGAGAAAGGGAGAACCGAAGCCGCGAGAUGCAUGCUAUGGUGGUGGAGAGGCCACAAUCUCCACGUACUGUACACCUUCGUGUCAAACCAAACACACGUCUAUCCCUU
rnacentral:lncRNA from 1 species